rnacentral:misc_RNA from 1 species
AAUUGAAAUACAUCUUUCUAUGCUUUUCUUACACUAUUCAAGCAAGUACUAUACAAGUAAAAAUGCACUAGUACACAUAUCCAAUGCUUAAACAACAUGGAUCUGAAUGAAAUGUUAAUUGCGCGUGGGUGCAAUAUUUUGGUUUACUACCUUCCAGACAUGAGGUUUAUCAUGCCUUGAUUUCCAUAGAAAGAUCCAACAUCCCAAUCUUCUGUUGACGAAGAGAGGGUCAUCAACGCAACCACUAUUGAUCUCAUACUUGGUCUUAUUAGGGGAUUUUCAUGGGUGCAAGCUUUGGCAAGUUGUGCCAUCUUCCGGACUGAAUCAAGGGGAUAGUCAUCUCCAAGUCUUGGGUCAACCAGUUGCCGAAGAUCUUCAUCAGGAUCUGGCUGAUUAAGUACUUCUUCAAACAAAGCAACAAGACCCUUUGAUUCAGUUACAGAACCAUUUGGCUUGACAAUCGCUUCCUUGGCUGAAAUUAGUUCAUAUAGGACAACACCAAAAGCAUAAACAUCAACUUUCGG